GAUGAAGAACGUAGCGAAAUGCGAUACUUGGUGUGAAUUGCAGAAUCCCGUGAACCAUCGAGUCUUUGAACGCAAGUUGCGCCCGAAGCCACUAGGCCGAGGGCACGCCUGCCUGGGCGUCACACGCCGUUGCCCCCCCAUCUACUCCUUCGGGAUUGCGGGGGGGCGGAUGAUGGCCUCCCGUGCGCCUAGCCGCGCGGUUGGCAUAAAUACCAAGUCCUCGGCGACGCACGCCUCGACAAUCGGUGGUUGCGAAACCUCGGUUGCCCGUCGUGUGCGUUCGUCGCGCAUCGAGGGCUCGAAAAAAUGCUCGGCUCCGGCUGGGCUUUCAACGCGACCCCAGGUCAGGCGGGGUUACCCGCUGAAUUUAAGCAUAUCAAUAAGCGGAGGA
rnacentral:misc_RNA from 1 species